AGGCAGCAGUAGGGAAUUUUCUGCAAUGGGCGAAAGCCUGACAGAGCAAUACCGCGUGAGGGAUGAAGACUUACUGAGUUGUAAACCUCGGUGCCUUAAGGAAGAAGAUAUGACGGUACUUAAGGUGGAAAGCAUCGGCUAACUCCGUGCCAGCAGCCGCGGUAAGACGGGGGAUGCAAGUGUUAUCCGGAAUUACUGGGCGUAAAGCGUCUGCAGGUGGUUUCCUAAGUCUACUGUUAAACCUUGAGGCUCAACCUCAAAUCUGCAGUGGAAACUAGGAGACUUGAGUAUAGUAGGGGUAGAGGGAAUUUCCAGUGGAGCGGUGAAAUGCGUAGAUAUUGGAAAGAACACCGAUGGCGAAGGCACUCUACUGGGCUAUUACUGACACUCAGAGACGAAAGCUAGGGGAGCAAAUGGGAUUAGAUACCCCAGUAGUCCUAGCCGUAAACGAUGGAUACUCGAUGUUGGACGUAUCGACCCGUUCAGUAUCUUAGCUAACGCGUUAAGUAUCCCGCCUGGGAAGUACGCUCGCAAGAGUGAAACUCAAAGGAAUUGACGG
rnacentral:rRNA from 1 species